rnacentral:rRNA from 1 species
GUUANUAAGCAACAACUGACGCUGAUGGACGAAAGCGUGGGGAGCGAACAGGAUUAGAUACCNUGGUAGUCCACGCCGUAAACGAUGCUAACUCGUUUUUGGAUUUUCGGAUUCAGAGACUAAGCGAAAGUGAUAAGUUAGCCACCUGGGGAGUACGUUCGCAAGAAUGAAACUCAAAGGAAUUGACGGGGGCCCGCACAAGCGGUGGAUUAUGUGGUUUAAUUCGAUGAUACGCGAGGAACCUUACCAAGGCUUAAAUGGGAAAUGACAGGUUUAGAAAUAGACUUUUCUUCGGACAUUUUUCAAGGUGCUGCAUGGUUGUCGUCAGCUCGUGCCGUGAGGUGUUAGGUUAAGUCCUGCAACGAGCGCAACCCCUGUCACUAGUUGCCAUCAUUAAGUUGGGGACUCUAGUGAGACUGCCUACGCAAGUAGAGAGGAAGGUGGGGAUGACGUCAAAUCAUCACGGCCCUUACGCCUUGGGCCACACACGUAAUACAAUGGCCAGUACAGAGGGCAGCUACACAGCGAUGUGAUGCAAAUCUCGAAAGCUGGUCUCAGUUCGGAUUGGAGUCUGCAACUCGACUCUAUGAAGCUGGAAUCGCUAGUAAUCGCGCAUCAGCCAUGGCGCGGUGAAUACGUUCCCGGGCCUUGUACACACCGCCCGUCAAGCCAUGGAAGUCUGGGGUACCUGAAGUCGGUGACCGUAAC